UACGUAGGGUGCAAGCGUUAAUCGGAAUUACUGGGCGUAAAGCGUGCGCAGGCGGUUUUGUAAGUUUGUCGUGAAAUCCCCGGGCUCCAACCUGGGAAUGGCGAUGAAGACUGCAAGGCUAGAAUCUGGCAGAGGGGGGGUAGAAUUCCACGUGUAGCAGUGAAAUGCGUAGAUAUGUGGAGGAAUACCGAUGGCGAAGGCAGCCCCCUGGGAUAACACUGACGCUCAUGCACGAA
rnacentral:rRNA from 1 species